GAACGCGUGAGAAUCUGGCCUCAGGACGGGGACAACGACUGGAAACGGUCGCUAAUACCCGAUGUGCCGAAAGGUGAAAGGAUUAAUUGCCUGAGGAUGAGCUCGCGUCUGAUUAGCUAGUUGGAGGGGUAAAAGCCCACCAAGGCGACGAUCAGUAGCUGGUCUGAGAGGAUGAUCAGCCACACUGGGACUGAGACACGGCCCAGACUCCUACGGGAGGCAGCAGUGGGGAAUUUUCCGCAAUGGGCGAAAGCCUGACGGAGCAAGACCGCGUGAGGGAAGACGGCCUACUGGUUGUAAACCUCUUUUGAUAGGGAAGAACACAAUGACGGUACCUAUCGAAUCAGCCUCGGCUAACUCCGUGCCAGCAGCCGCGGUAAUACGGAGGAGGCAAGCGUUAUCCGGAAUUAUUGGGCGUAAAGCGUCCGUAGGUGGAUAUUCAAGUCAGUUGUUAAAGCGUGGAGCUUAACUCCAUAAAGGCAAUUGAAACUGAAUGUCUAGAGUGCGAUAGGGGCAAGGGGAAUUCCCAGUGUAGCGGUGAAAUGCGUAGAUAUUGGGAAGAACAUCGGUGGCGAAAGCGCCUUGCUGGGUCUGCACUGACACUGAGGGACGAAAGCUAGGGGAGCGAAAGGGAUUACUUACCCCUGAUUCCACGCGUUUAUC
rnacentral:rRNA from 1 species